GGUGGGAGAGAGAGAGAGGGGGGAGAGAUUGAUAGGAUAAGACUAGUCAAAUGAACAAAUACAGUGCAUGGAUUUAUGCUGAGUUGUGGGGUUUUCUCUCUCUCAUUCCUGAUCUUCAUAUAAGCUCGGGGACCUCUCUAGUUUUUUAUCACAGAGAAUCACUCUUUCCUUGCUGCCUUCUAGGUUUCAUCAUCGCAACCUUCUUUAGCUUCUCUCUUCAAUCACUUUCCUUGAAAACUUGCUAAUCUUCAAUUCCAAAGCUUCUUUCUCUCUCUGAAAUGGCAGGCUUUUCAUAUCAACAUCAACCGUUGUUUCCUGACUCGGCUUUCUUGCCAAGCAUAGCCACACCCACUAAGAACAUGAACAACAACAUGUAUGGUUCUUUUGAGGAAGCUGGAAACAUGAUGAAUACCAACGGUUUCUCCCAAAUUUACUCUCCUGAAACUUUUCAUGAAACACCUAGUCUUGAUGUUAGAUUUCAUCAAAGUAGCCAUCCUGAUGAUCAUAGCUAUAAGGUGUCUCUUAGUGAUAAUGAGACUUCUUUGACUAAAAAACAGAGCACAAACUCCUCAACCGUGGUUGAUAAGCUUGAAAUUGGUGAGCACGUUACUCAAGAGGUAACUCCCAUGGCCAGGAAGAGGAAAAGUGCUAAUGGGUUCUUGAAUUCUGCUCAAUCAAAGUUUUUGUUACAGGAUGCUAGAAAAGUGAAAAGCAAGAGACAAAAUAAAUGCAGUGGUGACAUGAAACACGAAGAGAAGAAGCCAAAAGUUGAGAAGAAAGUUCAUGGAGAGCCUCCAGCAGGCUACAUUCAUGUAAGAGCAAGGAGGGGCCAAGCAACAGACAGCCACAGCCUUGCUGAGAGGGUAAGAAGAGAGAGAAUCAGUGAGAGAAUGAAGAUACUACAGCUUCUUGUUCCUGGCUGUGACAAGAUUACUGGGAAGGCCCUUAUGCUGGACGAGAUUAUUAAUUAUGUUCAGUCCCUGCAAAAUCAAGUGGAGUUCCUAUCCAUGAAGCUUGCCUCUGUUAAUCCCUUGCUCUAUGAUUUUGGAAUGGACCGUGAUGCAUUCAUGGUUAGACCAGAGAGAUUAAGUAGCAUGUCUCCACCACUGCCAUCUCUGCAACACAACAGUCCUAUCCAGCCCACAGCUUUUGCCGACACCGCCUCCGCCACCACCGCCACCUUUGCUACAGAAGAAAAUAACUAUCCUCUUAUUGAUAAUUCUGCUACGCUUUUUCUUCAAGGAAUGAGGCCUAGUGACUUCACUACUCAUCAGCACAUCAUUUUCAGGAUAGUGGUUACCUAAUGUGGGAUGUGGAUGAGCAAAGACAAAAAUUUCUUAAUCCAUCUGGGCUUGCCAACAACUUGUGUUCUUUCCAUUAAAAUAAAUAUACCAAGCGCUGCCCUACAAACAUCUGCUUGCAAGGAGAUGUCAAAGGCAACAAAAAAUAACAAGGGGAAAUUAAGAAACAGGAAGACAUGAAAUAUUCAAAGCAAAGCUGCUGCAUUGAUUCUAGCAUAAGUUCCAAAGGAAGUUCGAAGCUUGUUUCUUCACUUAUUAAAAGCUCUGGUUCCAAGUCCAAUAGAAUGAAAGUGGCAUCUUAAAACAUGAAUAAAGGGCAGCAACAUCAAUGGCUGAAGAACACAGAGGACAUACAGAACCGACCAAAUAAGACCAGAUCUUUUUGUAGAUCCCUUGUUCCUGUCAAUCUUGACCCCUCAAAGUCUUGCAUGCCAAAAUUCCAAAGCCCCCCCUUGUGGUGGUUAAGCCCUCUAGCUAGCUAGGCAUUUGUUUUUUACUUGUAGAGCAUUAAAACAGUAGUUGUAAUUCUCCAGUCAUUCUGUUAUUACAGUUAUUUUUACUCUUGCUUCCCUCUUUUUUGGAAAGAGGGAGGGUGAAAGAGAUGAGGUAAAACGCUAGAUUGAAGAAGUUGUUACUGUAAUUGACACAGACUACCUAUGCAUUUGUUGUUGGUAUCGUUGGCUUUAA